ensembl:snoRNA
CCUUCACUGAUGAAUUAUAUUCUGACUUUCGUUCUUCUGAGUUUGCUGAAGCCAGAUGUGAUUCUGAGGAGG